ACAGGUCUAUAACGCUCUUGGAGUGAGUUAUGUCCGAGAGGACAAACUGGACAAAGGAAUCGCUCAGUUUGAAAUGGCGGUGAAAAUUCAGCCUGGUUAUGUAACGGCUUGGAACAACCUUGGAGAUGCUUAUGAGAAGAAGAAGGAGCUGCCUUUGGCGUUGAAAGCGUUUGAAGAGGUUUUGUUGUUUGAUCCUAACAAUAAGGUGGCUCGGCCUCGCCGAGAUGCGUUGAAGGAUCGUGUUAAACUCUAUAAAGGCGUUGUGGCGGUCAAGUCCAAGAAACGGUGACGAAAAACCGAUAAACCAAGAACUCCCCCUCGUCUCUCUUAUGUUAUUUUUGUAAGGACAUUUUGUGUUAUUAUUAUGAAUAUGAAACUUGUUUACUGUUUUUACUCUUAACAAUAAAUCACUCAUCUUAUUAUUCAGAUAUCGAUACAAUGUUUAUAAAUAAUGAUAACAUGAUGAGAAAUAAGGUCACGCAAGAUACUAAAGAAGCAACAACGUAAAUAGAAGAUGUUCAGUGCAUGUAACAUAGAGGUUUUUGUUGUCUCAAGGACACUUGAGCUUAUUGCCGUGAGUACGGAGAUUAGCGUAGCAAGGACAUGAUGCUGUGUUGCCUGAGGUUCCGGGCGGCACGCACUGGCACUUGGCACAGCAACUUCCACAAGCUCUGUAACACACUUUCUUCCUCGACGUCUCUCUGCAUCUCCUCGCGCACGCAUACCCACAAUCUGCAAAUAUUUGGCUCAUACAUUAAUCAAAAAGUUGUUUGGCAAAAUAAAAGAAGAAGACUUAGAAUGUUACUAACUGAAUGGUGGACGAUGAUGGUAUGUUCUCUUAAACGCCUCCACUUGGUUCUCCUCGUUCGUCUGAAUCUAUAAGCAACACAAGAAACCGAGUUUAUUUGAUAUGGAAAGCUUGUUUUAAUAUGUUUUUAUUAUUUUUAUUUACCUGAGAAGCAGAGGAAGUUUCAGCGUUGCUGGACGAAGAUAGAUCUGCAAGUACCUGUGAAAGAAUCAGACAAGAACGUCUCAGUGUUUUUAGUUAGUAUGUUUGCAACAAAGAGAAGCUAAAUCUUGAACAAUGUUUUGAUCAUUUUUACCUGAGAAAGCAGAAGAAGAGAGAUGAGCAUAACAAAGGCCACCACUUUCAUCUUCUCCAUCUUGUCGGUUUUGAAGUAGUUUGUGAAAAUAGAAGCUGUGGAUGGUUCUUUAUAUAGACACAAUGUAGCUAUUUUGUCUUCUUCCUCUUUUCUUUUGUUGAGUGAAAAAAAAACCUCAUGUUGAUAGGUAUCACAUGCAAUAGGCUUUCAUCGCUGGACUAGACAUAAAUCACAGAUAUUAGAUUGAGUUUUGCUGUAAAGUGUUGGUGUUUGAUGCAACAGUUUUGAUUGGUCUUUGAGGAUAUAUCUAAUUUAUUACGCAAGGACGAAGAAGAAAAUUCAAACCUUGUUCACUGAAAUCUAAAUCAAGCUUAAAUACAUGAAAUGAGUGUAAAUUUACAGUAAAAAUAUAUAGGCUGGUUUUAACAAGGUACUGUAAUGUGUGUGACUUCACUGACUUGUCGACACACGUAUGGAGAGACAAGUGUACUUAAAGUGUAUAAAGAAAGAGGCAAUUAGGUAGUUUGAAAAUUAAUGUCUUAAUGAUAUCUUUGCCAUAAGAGUGUUAUAACAGCUGUCUCUUAGUUCAGACAUAGAACAGCUGAGAGAGAUAGAUGAAGAAAAACGCAUGCAGACGCAAUGUUGUUCGAAAAAGCAGAUGGCAAUGUUUGGCUCCGAUUGGUGAAAACGUAAUAUUAUUACUGUCUUCUAUAAACCACAUUCAAAAUUUCCAAACGCGCAUGAUGAGACUUUAAACGGAGAACGAAACCGAAUAACUACUUAGGCCACGAUUGUUUAUUUGCAUAAUUGCGUCUGUGUUGGUGUUUUCAUGUUAUAGGGAUCAAUAUGUAAGUUCAAACGCAAAGCUUUAUAUAAAUUUAUAUAGUUGAUAGGUUAUAUGCAUUUAAUACGGACAGAUUCGCAAGUUAAUAACUUAUUGAGAUGACUUAAUAUGAUUUUUACAAGUCAUCUCAAUUUUUUUUUAAACACUUAUUGAGAUGAUUUUACAAGUCACCGAUAUUAAUACAUGGGGUUUCAUCGACCAUACGGAAUAUGCAAUAAUAAUUUGAAACUAAAGAUUUGUAUGUUUCGUCUCAACAGGACUUUCUCUAGGUGUUCUGAAUCUGGCUAUUGUCGUCCCACAGGUAAAGAAAACGUUUGAAAUCAGUUUUAUUUAAUUAUUUACAAAAAAUGUUCACAUCCUGAUAUGUAUUUGUUGUUUCAUUAAAACGUAGAUGGUGGUAUCUGUGGGAGGUGGACCAUUCGAUGAACUAUUCCAUGGUGGAAACAUUCCGGCGUUUGUGCUAGGAGCAAUUGCGGCCGCGGUGAGUGGCAUAUUGGCUUUAACCGUGUUGCCUUCGCCGCCACCGGAUGCUCCAGCUUUCAAAACUGGGGCUAUGGGAUUUCAUUAAAGUUUUAGCAGUGUUUCAGUGGCUAUGUAACUCUCAUAAAACUGUAGUGUUAUUGUGCAAAUCCUACAUAAAGAGAAAAAAGGAAAUUCAUCUUCUUGGGUUGUUGGUUUAUAUUGUACCUAAACCCAUUGUGUUCCUUUUUUGUAACUGAAAUUUUCAAUUUGGAGUAUAUUUCACCUUUUGCCACCUUCAAGGCUUCAUUAUUACUACUUCAUUGUUUUGGAUCUUUCAGUCAUAUCUCACACAAGAAGAAUUGUAUUGUUUUUUUUGUUUCAUAAUAAAACUUAAAAUGUAAUAAUUAAUCUAGAAGAAUAAUUAUUUUUGAUGGUUUUCUUUUUUUUGUCAAGUGUAUUAGAAAUUUAGAACCGAGUUGAGUUAUACAUGUAAUUAAUAAAUACUUUUUAAAAUUCCAAAAAUGCAUUAUGUUACCUUACUCGUAGUUAUAAAUAAGCCUCUUUAGCUAUUACAUCGGCUUCACGUACAAUUUUCCUCACAAAUACAAAAGCUAAAAUCAGGAUGAGCUAGGCUGAUACUAUCUUUGGUGAGUAUAGCUACAGACUGGUUCUUUCAACCGUAAGAUAUAUCCUGAUGAAGAAAUUGUCUCCUACAACAGAUCAAACACACACAAGUUUAGUACAUUAAUUCUUCACGAGCUCCUGAUCUGCAGAUCUGAAUUUAAUAUUCGGAUUAUAAAACCUAUAACUAGUGUCUUAUUAAUAACGUUAGUCAGGUGUAGACCACCAUCAGUUCAGGACGCAAUCUGAUUGUAAAGCUGAUUUAUUGUUGCAAUAUAGUUUUCACAUUACAAAAAAAAAAGCACAAAAUGAUGAAUAUACACUUUUAUGUUUAGAGCAAUAAAAAUAAAUAAAAUAUGCAGAUUAAAAUUCUAAUAAAGAGAAAGAGAGAGAGUCCGGGCGGGGUAAACCCGGAAACCCGAAGAGUAACGCGGGUGGGCCUUAUCUUCAUCUUCCUCACCACACACACAACAAACACGCACACUCGUGGAUUUCAAACUUUGAGAGUAAUCUCAUCGGGACCUUUAUGAUCUCAUCGAACAUGCUUCUCCAUACGCUAUCGUCAUCGUCUCCACCCAUUCACCGCCUCUACCUCCACCAUUCUCAGAUUCUCCCUUCCUCUUCCUCUGUGUCUCUCAAGUUCCAUCCCAAAACGAUUUCUUUACAGGUAAACACUCCAACUUUCUCUCAAAGAAUCUGACUUUAUUGCAAUAUUAGAGAAUUCAAUUGGCUAAUCUUCCUCCAUGUUCUUUAAACGUGUGGAUGAAGGCAGAUACAUGGAAGGACUUUAGCUAUACGAUCUGCAGAACUUGCUGCUAGAGGGCUACCUUCUUUGAAGAAGCUGCCAAGCAAAGGAUCUACCUUUCUGCUGGGACAGAGCUUGUUGAUGGUCUCUGCUUAUCCAAACAUGGCAUCAGCGUCAGAGAGCGUGAAGCAUGAACCGGUUUACGAAGUUGGAGAGUUGUUUGAAUUAGGUAUUCAGCUUUCUUACUUGCUGUUGCUACUGGGUUUGCUCGGAGUUGGUACUUUCUAUGUGAUUCGUCAAGUACUUGUCCGCAGAGAGCUUGACCUCUCUGCCAAAGAGCUACAGGUAUUGAUUCUGAUCCCAAGUAUUAACCUUUGUGUUAGAAAUAGAAAAUUAGAUGAAAGGCCAGUAGAGAACUGAUGAAAUAAUAUUUGAUGUCUCUGAAUGUUUUUAGCAAACCAAUGUUAUUAGACUGAUUCAAGUAAGUAGCCAUGCUUAGACAGACUUUAAAACAUCUGAUCAAAACUGUUUUAUAUGGUUUUUGUGUUUGUCUGAAUAAUCUGAAGGAGCAAGUUAGGAGCGGGGAUGCAAGUGCAACAGAGCUCUUUGAGCUGGGUGCAGUGAUGCUGAGACGCAAAUUUUAUCCUGCAGACAACAAGUUCUUGCUUCAAGCUAUCCAGAAAUGGGACGGUGACGAUCAAGAUCUUGCUCAGGUAAUAAUACAAAUUAAUUUACACACACAAGCACACACUGUUUCCAUCAAGUACAAAUGAUGAGUACAAUUCUCGAGACAGGUCUAUAACGCUCUUGGAGUGAGUUAUGUCCGAGAGGACAAACUGGACAAAGGAAUCGCUCAGUUUGAAAUGGCGGUGAAAAUUCAGCCUGGUUAUGUAACGGCUUGGAACAACCUUGGAGAUGCUUAUGAGAAGAAGAAGGAGCUGCCUUUGGCGUUGAAAGCGUUUGAAGAGGUUUUGUUGUUUGAUCCUAACAAUAAGGUGGCUCGGCCUCGCCGAGAUGCGUUGAAGGAUCGUGUUAAACUCUAUAAAGGCGUUGUGGCG
rnacentral:lncRNA from 1 species